GAUGAAGAACGUAGCAAAAUGCGAUAAGUAAUGUGAAUUGCAGAAUUCAGUGAAUCAUCGAAUCUUUGAACGCACAUUGCGCCCGCCAGUAUUCUGGCGGGCAUGCCUGUUCGAGCGUCAUUUCAACCCUCAAGCCCUCGGGUUUGGUGUUGGGGAUCGGCGAGCCUUUCUGGCAAGCCGGCCCCGAAAUCUCGUGGCGGUCUCGCUGCAGCCUCCAUUGCGUAGUAGUAAAACCCUCGCAACUGGAACGCGGCGCGGCCAAGCCGUUAAACCCCCAACUUCUGAAUGUUGACCUCGGAUCAGGUAGGAAUACCCGCUGAACUUAAGCAUAUCAAUAAGCGGAGGA
rnacentral:misc_RNA from 1 species